rnacentral:misc_RNA from 1 species
GAAAUGCGAUACGUAAUGCGAAUUGCAGAUUUUCGUGAAACAUCAAAUCUUUGAACGCAACUUGCGCUCUGGGGAAACCUGGAGCAUGCCUCUCUGAGUGUCGUCACAACCAACCUCGGCUGCGACCGUUUUUUUAAACAGUCGCUGAGUCCGGAUAGUGAGAGUCAUUGGACUUUUUUGUUCAGUGUCUCUUUAAGUUGAUGCUACAAAUUAGCUCUUAGCUUGAUGUUAUCCAUCUGGCUGAUGCUUGAUAACUGACCUUAUGGUCAUUCUCUGCAUCUGGCUUGGGAUGCUUCAAGAAUUUGCGGCUAUUUUAUUGUAGCCUCAAAAGGAAAACAUAACUUUUUGAUUCGCGAUCUCAGAUGAAGCAAGAUUACCCGCCGAAUUUAA